rnacentral:rRNA from 1 species
UGGGGAAUUUUGGACAAUGGGGGAAACCCUGAUCCAGCCAUCCCGCGUGUGCGAUGAAGGCCUUCGGGUUGUAAAGCACUUUUGGCAGGAAAGAAACGUCAUGGGUUAAUACCCCGUGAAACUGACGGUACCUGCAGAAUAAGCACCGGCUAACUACGUGCCAGCAGCCGCGGUAAUACGUAGGGUGCAAGCGUUAAUCGGAAUUACUGGGCGUAAAGCGUGCGCAGGCGGUUCGGAAAGAAAGAUGUGAAAUCCCAGAGCUCAACUUUGGAACUGCAUUUUUAACUACCGGGCUAGAGUGUGUCAGAGGGAGGUGGAAUUCCGCUUGUAGCAGUGAAAUGCGUAGAUAUGCGGAGGAACACCGAUGGCGAAGGCAGCCUCCUGGGAUAACCCUGACGCUCAUGCACGAAAGCGUGGGGAGCAAACAGG